CGAACGCUGGCGGCGUGCUUAACACAUGCAAGUCGAACGGAAAGGCUCCAGCUUGCUGGAGUACUCGAGUGGCGAACGGGUGAGUAACACGUGGGUAAUCUGCCCUGCACUCUGGGAUAAGCCUGGGAAACUGGGUCUAAUACUGGAUAUGACCUUUCUCCUUAUGGGGUUUGGUGGAAAGUUUUUCGGUGUAGGAUGAGCCCGCGGCCUAUCAGCUUGUUGGUGGGGUGAUGGCCUACCAAGGCGCCGACGGGUAGCCGGCCUGAGAGGGUGAUCGGCCACAUUGGGACUGAGAUACGGCCCAGACUCCUACGGGAGGCAGCAGUGGGGAAUAUUGCACAAUGGGCGGAAGCCUGAUGCAGCGACGCCGCGUGAGGGAUGACGGCCUUCGGGUUGUAAACCUCUUUCAGCAGGGACGAGGCGUAAGUGACGGUACCUGCAGAGGAAGCACCGGCUAACUAUGUG
rnacentral:rRNA from 1 species